UCCCUGGUGGUCCAGUGGUUAGGAUUCAGCACUUACACUGCUGUGGCCUGGGUUCAAUCCCUGGUUGGGGAA